GCAGUCGACGAGCUUCCGUUGAUGACGUGCUUGCACUGAUUUCAACAAUGAAGCGAGUGGCGAACUGGUGAGUAACACGUGGGGAAUCUGCCCAGAAGCAGGGGAUAACACUUGGAAACAGGUGCUAAUACCGUAUAACAACAAAAUCCGCAUGGAUUUUGUUUGAAAGGUGGCUUCGGCUAUCACUUCUGGAUGAUCCCGCGGCGUAUUAGUUAGUUGGUGAGGUAAAGGCCCACCAAGACGAUGAUACGUAGCCGACCUGAGAGGGUAAUCGGCCACAUUGGGACUGAGACACGGCCCAAACUCCUACGGGAGGCAGCAGUAGGGAAUCUUCCACAAUGGACGAAAGUCUGAUGGAGCAAUGCCGCGUGAGUGAAGAAGGGUUUCGGCUCGUAAAACUCUGUUGUUAAAGAAGAACACCUUUGAGAGUAACUGUUCAAGGGUUGACGGUAUUUAACCAGAAAGCCACGGCUAACUACGUGCCAGCAGCCGCGGUAAUACGUAGGUGGCAAGCGUUGUCCGGAUUUAUUGGGCGUAAAGCGAGCGCAGGCGGUUUUUUAAGUCUGAUGUGAAAGCCUUCGGCUUAACCGGAGAAGUGCAUCGGAAACUGGGAGACUUGAGUGCAGAAGAGGACAGUGGAACUCCAUGUGUAGCGGUGGAAUGCGUAGAUAUAUGGAAGAACACCAGUGGCGAAGGCGGCUGUCUAGUCUGUAACUGACGCUGAGGCUCGAAAGCAUGGUAGCGACAGAUUAGAUACCCUGGUAGUCAUGCGUAACGAUGAGUGCUAGUGUGAGGUUUCGCCCUUCAGUGCUGCAGCUACGCAUUA
rnacentral:rRNA from 2 species